CCUACGGGUGGCAGCAGUGGGGGAUAUUGCACAAUGGGGGAAACCCUGAUGCAGCGACGCCGCGUGGGUGAAGAAGCGCCUCGGCGCGUAAAGCCCUGUCAGCAGGGAAGAAAAUGACGGUACCUGAAGAAGAAGCCCCGGCUAACUACGUGCCAGCAGCCGCGGUAAUACGUAGGGGGCAAGCGUUAUCCGGUUUUACUGGGUGUAAAGGGGGCGCAGACGGCGAUGCAAGCCAGGAGUGAAAGCCCGGGGCCCAACCCCGGGACUGCUGUUGGAACUGCGUGGCUAGAGUGCAGGAGGGGCAGGCGGAAUUCCUGGUGUAGCGGUGAAAUGCGUAGAGAUCAGGAGGAACACCGGUGGCGAAGGCGGCCUGCUGGACUGCAACUGACGUUGAGGCCCGAAAGCGUGGGGAGCAAACAGGAUUAGAUACCCCAGUAGUC
rnacentral:rRNA from 1 species